rnacentral:rRNA from 1 species
AGCAGCCGCGGUAAUUCCAGCUCCAAUAGCGUAUAUUAAAGUUGUUGCAGUUAAAAAGCUCGUAGUUGAAUUUCGAGAUCAGUACGCUGGUCGUGCCUUCGGUAUGCACUGGUGUCACUGGUUUCUCCCUUCUGAAGAACCGUCAUGUCAUUAAGUUGGUGUGGCGGGGAAUCAGGACUGUUACUUUGAAAAAUUAGAGUGUUUAAAGCAGGCUCGCGCUUGAAUACAUUAGCAUGGAAUAAUGAAAUAGGACGUUUGACCCUAUUUUGUUGGUUUCUAGGAUCGACGUAAUGAUUAAUAGGGAUAGUUGGGGGCAUUAGUAUUCAAUUGUCAGAGGUGAAAUUCUUGGAUUUAUUGAAGACUAACUACUGCGAAAGCAUUUGCCAAGGAUGUUUUCAUUAAUCAAGAACGAAAGUUAGGGGAUCGAAGACGAUCAGAUACCGUCGUAGU